rnacentral:rRNA from 1 species
GAUGAACGCUAGCGGCAGGCCUAACACAUGCAAGUCGAGGGGUAGCAGGAUUAAGCUUGCUUAAUUGCUGACGACCGGCGCACGGGUGCGUAACGCGUAUGCAACCUACCUUAUACUGGAGUAUAGCCCGGAGAAAUUCGGAUUAAUCCCCCAUAGUACUAAUGAAUCGCAUGGUUUAUUAGUUAAAGCAUUGCGGUAUAAGAUGGGCAUGCGUCCUAUUAGCUAGAUGGUGAGGUAACGGCUCACCAGGGCUACGAUAGGUAGGGGGCCUGAGAAGGUGGUCCCCCACACUGGUACUGAGACACGGACCAGACUCCUACGGGAGGCAGCAGUGAGGAAUAUUGGACAAUGGGCGCAAGCCUGAACCAGCCAUGCCGCGUGCAGGAAGAAUGCCCCAUGGGUUGUAAACUGCUUUUAUUUGGGAAUAAACCUCUUUACGUGUAGAGAGCUGAAGGUACCAAAUGAAUAAGCACCGGCUAACUCCGUGCCAGCCGCCGCAGUAA